rnacentral:rRNA from 1 species
GACGGAGGCUGCAAGCGUUAUCCGGAAUGAUUGGGCGUAAAGCGUCCGCAGGUGGCAGUUCACGUCUGCUGUCAAAGACCGGGGCUUAACUUCGGAAAGGCAGUGGAAACUGAACAGCUAGAGUAUGGUAGGGGCAGAGGGAAUUCCUGGUGUAGCGGUGAAAUGCGUAGAGAUCAGGAAGAACAUCGGUGGCGAAGGCGCUCUGCUGGACCAUAACUGACACUCAGGGACGAAAGCUAGGGGAGCGAAUGGG